rnacentral:rRNA from 1 species
CUACCCCGGGGAUAACAGGCUUAUCUCCCCCAAGAGUUCACAUCGACGGGGAGGUUUGGCACCUCGAUGUCGGCUCAUCGCAUCCUGGGGCUGUAGUCGGUCCCAAGGGUUGGGCUGUUCGCCCAUUAAAGCGGUACGCGAGCUGGGUUCAGAACGUCGUGAGACAGUUCGGUCCCUAUCCGUCGUGGGCGUAGGAAAUUUGAGAGGAGCUGUCCUUAGUACGAGAGGACCGGGAUGGACAUACCUCUGGUGUACCAGUUGUCGUGCCAACGGCAUAGCUGGGUAGCUAUGUGUGGACGGGAUAAGUGCUGAAAGCAUCUAAGCAUGAAGCCCCCCUCAAGAUGAGAUUUCCCAACUUCGGUUAUAAGAUCCCUCAAAGAUGAUGAGGUUAAUAGGUUCGAGGUGGAAGCAUGGUGACAUGUGGAGCUGACGAAUACUAAUCGAUCGAAGACUUAAUCAA